rnacentral:misc_RNA from 1 species
GAUGAAGAACGCAGCGAAAUGCGAUAAGUAGUGUGAAUUGCAGAAUUCAGUGAAUCAUCGAAUCUUUGAACGCACAUUGCGCCCCUUGGUAUUCCAUGGGGCAUGCCUGUUCGAGCGUCAUUUGUACCUUCAAGCUCUGCUUGGUGUUGGGUGUUUGUCUCGCCUCUGCGUGUAGACUCGCCUCAAAACAAUUGGCAGCCGGCGUAUUGAUUUCGGAGCGCAGUACAUCUCGCGCUUUGCACUCAUAACGACGACGUCCAAAAGUACAUUAUUACACUCUUGACCUCGGAUCAGGUAGGGAUACCCGCUGAACUUAAGCAUAUCAAUAAGCGGAGGA